GGCUCCUUGGUCAAGCGGUUAAGACACCACCCUCUCACGGUGGUAUCAGGGGUUCGAUUCCCCUAGGAGUCA
rnacentral:tRNA from 1 species